GGGGGCGUAAGGGUUUCGACGGGGAUAGUGAAGCGUGAUAAGCGGGUAGUGGUCCGGAGCCACUUUAAAAUCUGGAAUUUUUAAAAUUAAACGCUAAUAGAGAAUUAGUAGCAGCGUAACGCUGCAUUCCGCCUCAUUACAGGCGGACGUUCUACCCUUGACUACCGCGACUUGGGAUAGAAUGUCAUGAAGCGGUCAACGUGACCGAGGUAAGCUUUGCCCUCGGCAUGAACAAUGAAGCUACCAAACCAACAAGCGCGCGAAACCGGUUGUUGGUAAGGGAAUGUUGAUGUUUCGCUCCACCCGGAGAAAGUUGCGUGGAUUUAUUUUCGGACAGGGGUUCGACUCCCCUCGCUUCCACCA
rnacentral:tmRNA from 1 species